UACGUAGGGUGCGAGCGUUAAUCGGAAUUACUGGGCGUAAAGCGUGCGCAGGCGGUUUUGUAAGACAGGCGUGAAAUCCCCGGGCUUAACCUGGGAACGGCGCUUGUGACUGCAAGGCUAGAGUACGGCAGAGGGGGGGUGGAAUUCCGACGUGUAGCAGUGAAAUGCGUAGAGAUGUGGAGGAACACCGAUGGCGAAGGCAGCCCCCUGGGCUAACACUGACGCUCAUGCACGAAAGCGUGGGGAGCAAACAGG
rnacentral:rRNA from 1 species